AUCAACGCUGGCGGCGUGCCUCAGACAUGCAAGUCGAACGCGAAAGUUUCCUUCGGGAGGCGAGUAGAGUGGCGCACGGGUGAGUAACACGUAGGUAAUCUACCUUUGGGUGGGAAUAACAGCCGGAAACGGCUGCUAAUACCGCAUAAUGCAGCGGCUCGACAUCGAGACAGUUGUUAAAGCGGGGGAGUCGCAAGACCUCGCGCCUAAAGAAGGAGGCCUGCGGCGGAUUAGCUAGUUGGUGAGGUAAUGGCUCACCAAGGCAUCGAUCCGUAGCGGCCUGAGAGGGCGGUCGGCCACACUGACACUGACAUACGGGUCAGACUCCUACGGGA
rnacentral:rRNA from 1 species